rnacentral:tRNA from 1 species
CAUUAAGAAGCUAUGUAACAGCACUAGCCUUUUAAGCUAGAGAGAGAGGACCACUCACUCCUCCUUAAUGA